GCAAAACUGGGACUCAACAACAGAAGAGACACAAACUUUCACAGUGGUGUUUCAUACAAAACACAGACAGAUUCUCUUUAUCUUUAAGAUGCUGUCAGUCAACUUCAGUCUGUUUGUCACUUUGUUUCUGCUCACAAUAAGAGGUGUCAGCUGUGAAGACCUCAGUCCAGUCAACAAUGAAGAGUCCAGUUUAGAAGACAGCACUGUUACUCUGUCCUACAAAUACUCCAAACAAGCAACUGGUGGUGAUUAUUUCUUCUGGUAUCGACAAUAUCCAGGAAAACCACCAGAGUUCCUCAUCUCUCACUACGGAACAGGAACAGUAACAUCUAAUUCAGCCUCCAGACUGACUGUGAAAGUGAGUGAGGAUCAAACCCAAAUGGAUCUGCAGAUCUCCUCUGCUGCAGUGACUGACUCUGCUCUGUACUACUGUGCUGUGAGGCCCACAGUGACAGCAAACCCACAGUCUCUGUACAAAAACACAAGCUGACACACUGACGAGCUGC